CCUCGACGCUCUACACCGAUCGACUUGGGCGUCCUCAUGCUGUGGGCCGGCGGCUGGCCAUGGGGCUGUCCCGCUGGCAGCCGGCCGCCGCGCCCCACGCCGUCACGUCUCGAAGUCCACGGCCUCGUUCCUUCUCGCCUUCUCUGAGGCAAAGCGUCGAGCACCACCCGUGUCCUUAUGACCUCCACCAUGAGAGAUCAGUGCCGCAGUCUUCUCCUCCUCGACCGCCUUCUCCGCCGCCGAGACGCCCUUCGACGCUGCGCCUCAGCGGCCGGCCUCACCUCCUGCGUCGAGGACACCCCCGUCCCCGCCGCCUCCACCGGCCUCCGCGGCACUCUCGAUCGCUUGGAUGCUGGCGAGCUCGCCGCCACCCAACGCCUCUAUCACUCGCUUAUCAUCGCCUGCGCGCAGUACAAGAGCCUGGGCGAUGCCAGGACGAUCCACGCCCACCUGGCCGGCUCCCAGCUCGCGGGCAGCGUCUUCCUGGAAAACUCGCUCAUCCACCUGUACUGCAAGUGCGGCGGUGUGGCCGACGCGCGACGGGUGUUCGACGAAAUGUCGAGGCGCGACAUGUGCUCUUGGACCUCUCUCAUUGCGGGGUAUACGCAGAACGACAUGCCCGAUGAGGCCCUUGGGCUGCUCCCUGGGAUGCUUAGAGGGCGAUUCAAGCCGAACAAUUUCACAUUUGCAAGUCUCCUCAAGGCAGCUGGUGCUAGCGCAAGCAGUGGUAUCGGGGAACAGAUCCAUGCACUCGCAGUGAAGUAUGACUGGCACGAUGAUGUCUAUGUUGGGACUACACUUCUUGACAUGUAUGCGAGGUGUGGAAGAAUGGAUUUGGCCAUUAAGGUGUUUGACCAGCUUGAAUCAAAGAAUGGGGUUUCUUGGAGCGUGUUGAUUGCUGGAUUUGCAAGAAAGGGAGAUGGAGAGACCACACUGUUAAAGUUUGCUGAGAUGCAGAGGAAUGGAUUUGAGGCAACACAUUUUACAUACUCAAGUGUGUUUACUGCCAUUGCUGGUAUAGGUGCACUUGAACAGGGUAAGUGGGUGCAUGCACACAUGAUUAAAUCUGGGCAGAAACUGAGUGCAUUUGUUGGGAACACAAUACUUGACAUGUAUGCAAAGUCAGGGAGCAUGACUGAUGCAAGGAAAAUUUUUGACCGUGUGGACGAGAAGGAUUUAGUUACUUGGAACUCAAUGCUCACAGCAUUUGCACAGUAUGGGCUUGGCAGAGAAGCAGUCACCCAUUUUGAAGAGAUGAGGAAAUGUGGCAUUCACCUGAACCAGAUUACUUUCGUUUCCAUUUUGACUGCUUGUAGCCAUGCAGGGCUGGUGAAGGAAGGCAAGAGGUACUUUUACUUGAUGAAGGAGUACAACUUGGAACCAGCGAUUGACCACUACGUGACGGUUGUUGAUCUCCUUGGCCGAGCUGGUUUACUGACUAAUGCUCUUGUCUUUAUAUUUAAAAUGCCCAUGAAGCCAACUGCUGCUGUUUGGGGAGCCUUGCUUGGGGCUUGUAGAAUGCAUAAGAAUGCCAAAAUAGGGCAAUUUGCAGCCGAUCAUGUAUUUGAACUUGACCCAGAUGACACUGGUCCACCUGUGUUGCUUUACAACAUAUAUGCUUCCACAGGCCAAUGGGAUGCUGCUGCUAGAGUGAGGAAGAUGAUGAAGGCAACUGGUGUGAAGAAGGAACCUGCGUGUAGUUGGGUGGAGAUAGAGAAUUCAGUGCACAUGUUUGUGGCAAAUGAUGACACCCAUCCAAGAUCAGAAGAGAUAUAUAAGAAGUGGGAGGAGAUAAGCAUACAGAUUAGGAAAGCAGGGUAUGCUCCUAACACAGAUUAUGUGCUUCUGCAUGUAGAUGAACGAGAGAGGCAGGCAAAUUUACAGUAUCACAGUGAGAAGAUAGCGCUCGCAUUUGCACUGAUCAACCUGCCUUCAGGGGCAACCAUUCGGAUCAUGAAGAAUAUUAGGAUAUGUGGGGAUUGCCAUUCUGCAUUCAAAUAUGUCUCCAAAGUUUUCAAGCGGGAGAUUGUUGUCAGGGAUACAAACAGAUUCCAUCAUUUCAGCAGUGGCUCUUGUUCAUGCGGAGAUUACUGGUGAUUUCGCUAAUCUCAGCAUUUUUCACAGCUAAUCAAGAUCAUUCAUGAGACCGUAGCUCUUGGACUCUGUUGUGGCAUAUGGGACUCUGUUUUGGAGUAUGGUGGUGCGUACAGUCUCUAGUUGGUUACACGUUUGAGAUGGAUUUGUUCCAGUAGUCCUCAGAAGUUAUCUCCUUCAUUUGCUCGUGGUCAUCGUAAGCAUCUGGGAAUAGGGAAUAGGCACAGGCAUCGCUAUUCAGCUACAGAACAGAAGGUUAUCAUGGAACGGGAGGAUGCAGCUCUGACCAUGACAAAGGAAUAAUACGACUGCGGACAAUCUUAUGCCAUCACAGCUAUAUACGGUAAUUUUCCGGACGAAACUUUUGUGAAAAAUGCAUGUUUGGCUACAAGAUUAUUUAUUGUGUUUUGUAUUGGCCUUGAAAGUUUGCCUCUCGAUUAAUGAACUUAGGUGGUGUUUGGGACAAGAGACUUAUUUUUAGUUACUUGUCCCAUCGAAU